rnacentral:rRNA from 1 species
UCCGCAAUGGACGAAAGUCUGACGGAGCGACGCCGCGUGCGGGAUGAAGGCCCUUGGGUUGUAAACCGCUUUCGGAGGGGAUGAAAUCCUCGAGGGUACUCCCUCGAGGUUGACAGAGCCUCAAAAGAAGCACGGGCUAAGUACGUGCCAGCAGCCGCGGUAACACGUACUGUGCGAACGUUAUUCGGAAUCACUGGGCUUAAAGGGUGCGUAGGCGGGUGGACAAGUCGAGGGUGAAAGCCUCUAGCUUAACUAGAGAAGUGCCCUCGAUACUGUUUGUCUCGAGAGAGAUAGGGGCACACGGAACUUCCGGUGGAGCGGUGAAAUGCGUAGAUAUCGGAAGGAACGCCGGUGGCGAAAGCGGUGUGCUGGAUCUUUUCUGACGCUGAGGCACGAAAGCUAGGGUAGCGAACGGGAUUAGAUACCCCGGUAGUCCUAGCCCUAAACGAUGAGUACUAGAUUGUGGACUGACAUGGGUUCACAGUCGAAGCAAAGUAUUAAGUACUCCGCCUGGGGAGUAUGGUCGCAAGGCUGAAACUCAAAGGA